CUGGGGGUCAGGCAGCUCCAAGGAAAUGCCCACUGGGAACAGCCAAUGAACUUACUGCUCAAGCAGACAUCACAGCCUGCCAGGUUUGUCCUAAUGGCUAUCUCAGCCUAGAGAGUGGAGCUGGGUGCCGUGCGUGUCCAGAUGGUUAUUCAUGUGAUCCACGUAGUGGUGUGCAGAGGAGCUGCAAUCCUGGUCAGUAUUCGCCAGAGGGAGAGUUGGAGUGUCGGGAAUGUCCAGAGAGAUACAUCUGCCCAGAUGGACGGAGCAGACAGCAUUGUUUGGCCGGUCAGCAGCCGAAUCCAAGCCGUACUCAUUGUGUAACCUGCACUCCUGGUUCUUUCUCAGCUGAAGACACUCUGCUGUGCCAGCCCUGUCCAGC